AUGAACGCUGGCGGCGUGCCUAAUACCUGCCAGUCGAGCGAACAGACGAGGAGCUUGCUCCUCUGACGUUAGCGGCGGACGGGCGAGUAACACGUGGAUAACCUACCUAUAAGACUGGGAUAACUUCGGGAAACCGGAGCUAAUACCGGAUAAUAUAUUGAACCGCAUGGUUCCAUAGUGAAAGACGGUUUUGCUGUCACUUAUAGAUGGAUCCGCGCCGCAUUAGCUAGUUGGUAAGGUAACGGCUUACCAAGGCAACGAUGCGUAGCCGACCUGAGAGGGUGAUCGGCCACACUGGAACUGAGACACGGUCCAGACUCCUACGGGAGGCAGCAGUAGGGAAUCUUCCGCAAUGGGCGAAAGCCUGACGGAGCAACGCCGCGUGAGUGAUGAAGGUCUUCGGAUCGUAAAACUCUGUUAUUAGGGAAGAACAAAUGUGUAAGUAACUAUGCACGUCUUGACGGUACCUAAUCAGAAAGCCACGGCUAACUACGUG
rnacentral:rRNA from 1 species